UUUUUGUUGUUUUUUCAGGAAUUCCCAAGGUCCUCCAACUUGAUGGAAAGAUAAGACAUGCAGGCAUCUCACAGGUGAUACUGGAGGCAGAGUGGCAUCAAGCUCUGGGCUGUGCACUUGCAGGGAUUUAAAAAGAAAGGUUACCCAAGAUAAAGUUUGGGAGCACGCUAAGAAACCUAGAAAUUGGUCUCACCUUCAGCUUCAGAUCCCUUGGAAAUCCUGUCCCAUGUAGCAGAAGGAAAGCACCAUCAUUACCGCUCAAAAAAUAAGCUGGUCAGACUGAUGAAGAUGGAGACCCUCUCCCAUUGUCCAACUGGAUGUUUUCUAACGAAGGAGCUAUAUUUCCAGUCAUAAAAGGAAAUGAUGGGUAAUUUAAAGAAGGAGAAAGGGUGAUGGGUGUUUGUGGAACCAAGGAACUAAGCCCCAUCUUGUCAGGACUGCAAACUUCUGGGUCUUCAGAGAGAAGAGAAAAAUUCUCACAGAAACCGGAGGGGGAGAAACUACCUUAAUUAUAGAGCACCAAAGAUAAGAAUUACAUCAGAC